GCUCCUUCUCUCUCCGGCUCUAGAACAUGUAUACUAUUGUCCCCUUGUCGUCAAUGUGAUCGAGCAUCUAGACCUCUUGGCUGACGUAGGCCUCUGUGGUCCUUCAAUCUUUUGCGUUCACCAAAAGCCAUUAAGAAUGAGGGUGAUUUGAUUUGUCUUUGGUGUGUGUUUUUAAUGUAAGAGGUCCUCACUUGUUGCACUACUUCGUC
rnacentral:lncRNA from 1 species